CUACGGGUCGCAGCAGUGGGGAAUAUUGGACAAUGGGGGAAACCCUGAUCCAGCAAUGCCGCGUGUGUGAAGAAGGCCUGCGGGUUGUAAAGCACUUUCGGUUGGGAGGACUGCUUCUAGCACUAAUAUUGUUGGAAGUUGACGUUACCUUCAGAAGAAGCACCGGCUAACUCCGUGCCAGCAGCCGCGGUAAUACGGAGGGUGCAAGCGUUAAUCGGAAUUACUGGGCGUAAAGCGCGCGUAGGCGGCUAGAUCAGUCGGGUGUGAAAGCCCCGGGCUUAACCUGGGAACUGCAUCCGAUACUGGCUAGCUUGAGUACAGGAGAGGAGAGUGGAAUUCCACAUGUAGCGGUGAAAUGCGUAGAUAUGUGGAGGAACACCAAUGGCGAAGGCAGCUCUCUGGCCUGAUACUGACGCUGAGGUGCGAAAGCGUGGGGAGCAGACAGGAUUAGAUACCCCCGUAGUC
rnacentral:rRNA from 1 species